rnacentral:rRNA from 1 species
GAUGAACGCUGGCGGCGUGCCUAAUACAUGCAAGUCGAGCGAACGGACGAGAAGCUUGCUUCUCUGAUGUUAGCGGCGGACGGGUGAGUAACACGUGGAUAACCUACCUAUAAGACUGGGAUAACUUCGGGAAACCGGAGCUAAUACCGGAUAAUAUUUUGAACCGCAUGGUUCAAAGGUGAAAGACGGUCUUGCUGUCACUUAUAGAUGGAUCCGCGCUGCAUUAGCUAGUUGGUAAGGUAACGGCUUACCAAGGCAACGAUGCAUAGCCGACCUGAGAGGGGGAACGGGCACAGUGGAAGGGAGACAGGGCCCAGACUCCCAGGGGAGGGAAGAGGGGGGAAUUUUCCGCAAUGGGCGAAAGCCGGAGGGGGAAACGCCGGGGGGGGAAUGAAGGUUUUGGGAUCGAAAAACUUUUUUAUUAGGGAAAAAAAAAGGUGUAAGUAACUGGGCACAUUGUGACGGUACCUAAUCAAAAAGCCACGGCUAACUACGU